rnacentral:rRNA from 1 species
UACGUAGGGGGCAAGCGUUGUCCGGAAUUAUUGGGCGUAAAGAGCGUGUAGGCGGUCCGGUAAGUCAGCUGUGAAAGUCAAGGGCUCAACCCUUGAAUGCCGGUUGAUACUGUCUGGCUAGAGUCCGGGAGGGGCGAGUGGAAUUCCUGGUGUAGCGGUGAAAUGCGCAGAUAUCAGGAGGAACACCAAUGGCGAAGGCAGGUCUCUGGGCAUUAACUGACGCUGAGGAGCGAAAGCAUGGGGAGCGAACAGGA